CCUACGGGAGGCAGCAGUGGGGAAUAUUGGACAAUGGGCGAAAGCCUGAUCCAGCCAUGCCGCGUGUGUGAAGAAGGCCUUCGGGUUGUAAAGCACUUUCAGUGGGGAAGAAAGCCUUGGGGCUAAUACCCUCGAGGAAGGACAUCACCCACAGAAGAAGCACCGGCUAACUCCGUGCCAGCAGCCGCGGUAAUACGGAGGGUGCGAGCGUUAAUCGGAAUUACUGGGCGUAAAGCGCGCGUAGGCGGUCUGAUAAGCCGGUUGUGAAAGCCCCGGGCUCAGCCUGGGAACGGCAUCCGGAACUGUCAGGCUAGAGUGCAGGAGAGGAAGGUAGAAUUCCCGGUGUAGCGGUGAAAUGCGUAGAGAUCGGGAGGAAUACCAGUGGCGAAGGCGGCCUUCUGGACUGACACUGACGCUGAGGUGCGAAAGCGUGGGUAGCAAACAGGAUUAGAUACCCCUGUAGUC
rnacentral:rRNA from 1 species